rnacentral:lncRNA from 1 species
AAGUAAUAUUUUAUCUUAUUACUUUUCUAUAAUAGCGUCUGAUAUAAUGACUCUUAGUUCUUAAUUACCCUGUGCAGCUUAUGGAACAAAAAGAAAAAUGUAGAAAGAAGUUCAAGGCUUCAGAGGAGAGAAUAGCUUUAAAAAUUGAAAAACUGAUUCGCGAAAUGUCUCCUGUUCACGUACCCAAAUCAAAGGGACGAAAAAGGUCUGAAGAGGAGAGAAUGGUUUUGGCAAUUGAAGAGAUGAUUGACGAGAUGCCUUCUGUUUACAUACCCAAAUCAGAGGGACCAGGUACACUCUAGGAGAGGAUGGUAUUAGGGUCUGAUGCUGAGAGAAGUCUGAUGAAUCCUUGACCCUCUCGUGAUCUAUGUAAUUGGACUACCUGGUGAUGUUCUUCAUUACUUUUGCGAAGAACGAUUAUAUAGAUAAAAUCCAUUUUUCAUAUUUGUUGGAAGUAUUUUCUUCAUUUUUUUCGUUCAUCUUUGACCGAGA